rnacentral:tRNA from 1 species
UUCUUUAGUGCAGUAGACAAGCUCAUCAGUCUCUUAAACUGAAGGUCCUGAGUUCAAUCCUCAAAAAAA